rnacentral:rRNA from 1 species
AUUGAACGCUGGCGGCAGGCCUAACACAUGCAAGUCGAGCGGAUGAAGGGAGCUUGCUCCUGGAUUCAGCGGCGGACGGGUGAGUAAUGCCUAGGAAUCUGCCUGGUAGUGGGGGAUAACGUCCGGAAACGGGCGCUAAUACCGCAUACGUCCUGAGGGUGAAAGUGGGGGAUCUUCGGACCUCACGCUAUCAGAUGAGCCUAGGUCGGAUUAGCUAGUUGGUGGGGUAAAGGCCUACCAAGGCGACGAUCCGUAACUGGUCUGAGAGGAUGAUCAGUCGCACUGGAACUGAGACACGGUCCAGACUCCUACGGGAGGCAGCAGUGGGGAAUAUUGGACAAUGGGCGAAAACCUGAUCCAGCCAUGCCGCGUGUGUGAAGAAGGUCUUCGGAUUGUAAAGCACUUUAAGUUGGGAGGAAGGGCAGUAAGUUAAUACCUUGCUGUUUUGACGUUACCAACAGAAUAAGCACCGGCUAACUUCGUG